rnacentral:rRNA from 1 species
GGGUAAUUUUCCGCAAUGGGCGCAAGCCUGACGGAGCAAUACCGCGUGAGGGAGGAAGGCUCUUGGGUCGUAAACCUCUUUUCUCAGGGAAGAACAAAAUGACGGUACCUGAGGAAUCAGCAUCGGCUAACUCCGUGCCAGCAGCCGCGGUAAUACGGAGGAUGCAAGCGUUAUCCGGAAUGAUUGGGCGUAAAGCGUCCGUAGGUGGUUAUGUAAGUCUGUGGUUAAAGCGUGGGGCUCAACCCCAUAAGGGCCAUGGAAACUACAAGACUUGAGUAAAGUAGGGGCAGAGGGAAUUCCCAGUGUAGCGGUGAAAUGCGUAGAGAUUGGGAAGAACACCGGUGGCGAAAGCGCUCUGCUAGGCCAAAACUGACACUGAGGGACGAAAGCUAGGGGAGCGAAUGGGAUUAGAUACCCCAGUAGUCCUAGCCGUAAACGAUGGAUACUAGGUGUAGCUUGUAUCGACCCAAGCUGUGCCGUAGCUAACGCGUUAAGUAUCC